rnacentral:lncRNA from 1 species
GGGUUGUCUUUAGGGCAUUAGUGAAUUUCAGGAAUUUCACUGGAGGCCAGAGACAGUCUCUCAGUUAGGCAGGUAGCAGAUCUGAUAGAGUUUAGGUCAAGAAUUACACAUUUCAACCUGCAUGUAGCUUCUACAUGCUAUGAAAUUCUUUCUUAAAUGUGUUCAUGGUCAACUGCUCUACUUCACAUUCUGCAUAAAUUCUCUCUAAGUUGCUGUCUUGUCCUGUUCUGUUUUUAAGAUGAAUACAUGCCCUCUCUUGAGGUUUGCAGCAACUGACCAAACACUGACAGAAGAUAAUGAAUGCAGUUAACAUGUGAUAUGAAGAAGAGAUCGCUGUGCUUACCAAAAACAUCCAUGACAGACUAAGCAUAUGGGAUCAGAGGAAAGAACAUCCUGUACGCUGUCCAAGAGAAACCAGGCAGGCCUCUGCGUACCUAGGAAACCUAACAUAAUUAAUGCAAUACAGUUUACAGAGAUGGACGUGCACAUACAAUGCCAGGCAUAUAGUGAAGGUAUGAAAUUAUAUACACAUUUUAUUGCAUUCAGGCAUCUCUGAAAACACAGUAGCUCACUGCAAAAACUUGAUCAAUAAAACCAAUACAAGCCCUCUUGCUACCUUCUCUUGCCUCAAAAGAAUUUUAUAAUCUUCAAAAGACUUUUUAAAUCUUAAAUCUUUUAAGGUCUUUAUAAUCUUAAAAAUAAGCAAGUGCUGGGAACAGCACUGCAACCCCAGCUACUCACAAAUGGCAGCUUUCAAACUCCAAAGGCUAGUUAAAAGGGUUGAAUUCUGUCCAGAGGCUUGUUGUUACCUGUUUAUCAGCAAUAACUGUGGGUAAACGUAGCACAAUUACUGGAAAAGUGAAUACAAAUUACUUUUGCUACAGAAGACUAGUCAUUAGACUUCAGAGGAAAGGAAUAGAAUUACUUUUAAUCUGACUUCUCUUUUAUCAUUUUUUCUUUCCUUUGAGGAAGGGAAAAUGAGAGAAGAUCACACUCAGUAACUGUGGAACUCAAUGUGCACUGGCUAUUAGCUGUAAACAAGAAACUGUCUCCAGUCCCAUGCUGUCAGAAGUCUAUUGCAUAUUUUACUGUAGACAGUAUAAAACAACUACCUGGUCAAGUUCAUUAAAACAGGUUUAAAGCCCAACAUAAACCUUCUGUUUCUCAAAUGCAGAAUCUUAAAAGAAUCCUAAAUUAACUUGUUGAAAUCCCGAUAAUUUAUUUCUUAGCAACUGAACGGAUGUUGACUGCUGGCUGGUGGGAGCUCUCUGAUGAACGCUAAAUAGCUGGCAUUUAGAACUGGAUAAAAAUAUCACAGUUUCGAUGUGAGGAAAAAUAAAUACCUAAGGUUUUACUAACACCAACUGAGAGUUCAGCAUGCCAGAAGAUAGCUGUGAAAGCUGCCAGAGUCCCGUAUAGCUCCCAGUACACUCUAUGCGCCUUUUCACUGGAAGGAUGGCAAAGUGGUGAAAGUUAGCCAUGGUUUGAGAGAAUUUUGGCUGGGAAAAUCUGUGAGGUUUUACUCCCACAGAAUAUAAUUAUCAAAUGUG